UACGUAGGGUGCAAGCGUUGUCCGGAUUUAUUGGGCGUAAAGAGCUCGUAGGCGGUUUGUCGCGUCGGAUGUGAAAACCCAGGGCUCAACCCUGGGCCUGCAUUCGAUACGGGCAGACUAGAGUAUGGCAGGGGAGACUGGAAUUCCUGGUGUAGCGGUGAAAUGCGCAGAUAUCAGGAGGAACACCGGUGGGGAAGGCGGGUCUCUGGGCCAAAACUGACGCUGAGGAGCGAAAGCCAGGGGAGCAAACGGG
rnacentral:rRNA from 1 species